AUGAACGCUGGCGGCGUGCCUAAUACAUGCAAGUCGAGCGAACAGACGAGGAGCUUGCUCCUCUGACGUUAGCGGCGGACGGGUGAGUAACACGUGGAUAACCUACCUAUAAGACUGGGAUAACUUCGGGAAACCGGAGCUAAUACCGGAUAAUAUAUUGAACCGCAUGGUUCAAUAGUGAAAGACGGUUUUGCUGUCACUUAUAGAUGGAUCCGCGCCGCAUUAGCUAGUUGGUAAGGUAACGGCUUACCAAGGCGACGAUGCGUAGCCGACCUGAGAGGGUGAUCGGCCACACUGGCACUGAGACACGGUCCAGACUCCUACGGGAGGCAGCAGUAGGGAAUCUUCCGCAAUGGGCGAAAGCCUGACGGAGCAACGCCGCGUGAGUGAUGAAGGUCUUCGGAUCGUAAAACUCUGUUAUUAGGGAAGAACAAAUGUGUAAGUAACUAUGCACGUCUUGACGGUACCUAAUCAGAAAGCCACGGCUAACUACGUG
rnacentral:rRNA from 1 species